GAUGAACGCUGGCUACAGGCUUAACACAUGCAAGUCGAGGGGAAACGCCGGGGAAGCUUGCUUCCCCGGGCGUCGACCGGCGCACGGGUGAGUAACGCGUAUCCAACCUGCCUCUGACUGAGGGAUAACCCGUCGAAAGUCGGCCUAAUACCUCAUGGCAUCGUCUGCGGGCAUCCAACGACGAUUAAAGAUUUCAUCGGUCAGGGAUGGGGAUGCGUCUGAUUAGCUAGUUGGCGGGGUAACGGCCCACCAAGGCGACGAUCAGUAGGGGUUCUGAGAGGAAGGUCCCCCACAUUGGAACUGAGACACGGUCCAAACUCCUACGGGAGGCAGCAGUGAGGAAUAUUGGUCAAUGGGCGAGAGCCUGAACCAGCCAAGUAGCGUGCAGGAGGACGGCCCUAUGGGUUGUAAACUGCUUUUAUGCGGGGAUAAAGUGAGGGACGUGUCCUUCAUUGCAGGUACCGCAUGAAUAAGGACCGGCUAAUUCCGUG
rnacentral:rRNA from 1 species